GGAGGGGGUUGUAUCGACGGUGGGGGCAAGUAGAUGGAUACUGGAAGCUGAUGAAAGGAUGCGAACUUCUCAGGCUCAGGAUGUUCUCUUUCUGUGAUGCGCCAGUCUGAAGCGCCACAACAUUUAAUCUCCGGGAAAGAAGGAGGUUGGAGACUGGCACUCUGGAGCUGCCUAUUGAGAUCAAAGCAGAGCAAGUCAGACGUCAACAUCCGUUUUUGCCUCUGCCAAAAAAGUUGGGCCGACUGCUGGCAACAGUUGGAAGAAGGAUGUUGUUUCAUUGUGCUGCACGACGGGGUUCCUGAUUUAAAAGCAGAUUUCUUUCCACGGCUGCUAUCGCUGUUCUUAAAAUUUCUGGGUUGACAGUUGUUGUGAUUGCACUCCUGAGGACACGGUUAUCCCUCCGCACAAUGAGUGUCAUUCUGCAUCCCUGCUGAAGGAGCAUGGCUUUGUCAUCUUCUACUCUUAUUUGUGAAGCCCUCAUGGCACGUGUGGGUACAUAAAGUGAAAAACCAACAGUGUUUUGCUGUUCUCUGUUCCACAUUGGUCAUUCUGCUCUUGCAAUGCUGUUAAUUGUCCAAAUUUUUGCUGCACCAAUGACUCCAAAUUCCAAAGCGCUCAUUCUAGGGCCUGUGACUGACAGGUGCUGACAGAUUGGUUUGUUUGGGGAGGACUCACACUGUUCCAGCAUCUCGUCUUCGGCUCUCUCUGGAAGCGGGCGAACUCCCUUCGGUCAUGAAUACCAGCGAGUAGUUUCCAUAGCAGCAACAAAACCACACCCAACGCGGCCACGGAGGCAACGCUGGGAUCAGCAUCACGUCCGGAGCUGGCGGCUAUUGCUGUGAGACAGGUAGAAGCUAUGGCACGUCAUCAGAAACAGACUGUUGAUAGUCUUUCCAAAUGUCACGUUGCUCAGUGCGAGCACCAUUACGUAAGUUGUAGAGAACCUCUGGAUGUGAAUCUGUACUUGUCACACUAAUAUGUUGAUUUAUGUGGCUGCAGAGGAGCCACGAACAAAAAAAAAACACAUUAAGGGAGUUGAAUUUAAGAGACAUUUCCUGCUGAAGCCUUACUUAGCGAUUCAUUAUUAUGAUAUACACAAGAUUGAUUUUUCACACAAAAGAAAGUCCCCAGUGCUGCUGUAACAAAAUUGACUGAACCAUGCUAUUGUAUCGAUGCAGUCACAAAAAGGACACUCUCGUCUGUCUACCUCGUUCAAGAGCUACAUCAAGCUGAAUAGCAUCUUUUUGUCCGGCCCUCAGCAGGAAGUGCACUCUGCAGCCUUUUGUGUCCACUUCCAUACACCUGUGAAGGCCUGGAGAGGAGGGCACUGUUGCUAAGACACCAGUCUGACCUAGCGUAUGAGGUGCAGCCUGGGACACCUUCAAUCCCAUUCACACAGAUUCCAGCCCGGGGAGAAGGGCGAGCACAGGAUAAUAUCACACGUGGCAGGAACAGGAACGACGGAGCUCACACGUUCCCAUGUUUGGCCCCCGGACAUGAAGAUGCCUCACUGUUUGCACAAAUCUGUCUGCUGAGACUCCAGUGUGUGAGCAGAGACCUGCAGGGUCCACCGCUGACUUCUGGGAGACACAUGCACACCCUGCAGACAGACCUGCGCGACCUGGGGUAGUAAAAGAAAUGAGGUGUAAUCACUUCUUGGAAUAUGGCCUGGACUGAUGUGCUUUAUGGCUCCACAUCGUAGUUCUUGAUACUGCUCGCUGCCUCCAGUGAGCACGACUCCUGCCGCCGCUUUUUACUGUUCUUUUGACAAAUGCACUCUGCACGUCCGCUGCACAUGUAUGAUGCACUAUCAUGCCGACAAAGACGCGGGUCAACCACUUCACCUGAUUACGUUCAAUCACGCUCGCAAAACAUUCCGACUCUCCCGUCUUUACACUUGCAAAAGAAACAAACAUGCAUCGCUUGAUUUUGUUCUGAACAACUCAAAAUUAGGCUUGUUAUCAAAAUUGAUGCCAUCAAGCUACUUCACCUACCUACACUCCGCAGAGUGCCGUUGCCAUGGCUACACGAAGGACUGUGUGGGACCACAGCCUUUUGACAUGAGCACUUACAUAUGGGGCUCAGCAGGACCUCGGCCUCUUCGCUAUAGCCUUGAGGCUUAAUAAUAACAGGGGCUUUGUGAAGCGGUGGCUCACAGAGGUGCUGUAAUGCUUACACUGAAACUCACCUAGAGACGAGGUGAGAAUUCCUUGUGCACAAUUAUAAUGCUCCUCUAAUGAGGUAAUCAUAAUUAGCAUUACUGUGGCUUCAACGGCGAAUGGCCACAUGCUAACAGCAGCGCUUACACAAUUUGCCACACAUGGAGCCACCCGGCUCCACGCCUCAUCACCGGCAGAGGUGCAGCACCCACCCACCCCCCUCCACUCACCGAGCCUCGGCUUAUGGUCUUUACAGAGCGAUAGGCGAUGGGCAGCGUGCUGUUCCACAUAACAACCUCAGAGGUCAGUGUCUGCAAUCAGCGGCGCAGUUAAGGAGGUGU